CCUACUGACCUCAGUAGGUUAAUCCAGAAUCGAGUCACGGUUUAUAGGAUUGCUAUAAAACACAUAGAUUCACUCCGGAUCAAAAAAUUCGGAGUCGUGCGAUUCUUACGGUGAAGGUCGAUCGGAUUUUACCUGAAACAGAGAGACGGAGAUUGCCUAUAACCGAGUUGAUUGAAGGUUGUAAACUUUAUAUCUAGGGUUUACCCUCUUUCCAAAUCAGACGAUCGAAUCCGGGGUUUGAAUCUGCAAAAUCGAAGCUUGCAUUUAAGGAGUGGACGUAUUGAUUCUCUGGUAUCUAGGAAUCUCUGCUACUCUUCUGAAGUGCAGGUAAGAUCACCUGCUGAUUGACAAGACCCACAUCUCCAUAGGCUUCUUCGAUUUGCUUCUUUCAUGAGGAGGAUAUUAUAGCAUAGCACUAGAAUGAAUUUAUCAGCAUUAGAUGCUCAUUCAUCACAAUUUCUAUGCUUCCACCAGCUAAAACACUGAUUUCGUGCUGCUUACAGGAAUUUCAUGGCCCUUAAGCCCAAGGAACCAAAGUCGUCACUAAUUUCUUACCCAUUUCAAGUAGCAUGCAAGUAGCACAGACUCUUGGCAACUUUCCACGAAUACUGAUACACAUGUGACAACAUGUUACAAUGGAUUGCAAUGCUUUUAAAUUUCUUCUUAUGUGACUUCAAGCAUGUUGUUUUGAUUAACAGCCAGCAAAGCUUGUAUACAAGACUUUAACCAUGGAAGCAGAGAUGGGUAUCCAAUGUUUUGCCGCUCUUCCUUGUGUAAAGUUUCAGAGCAACAGCCUCCUCUGCAUGCUCAGGUCCUUGCCAAGAAAAAAAGAGUAUAGGGACAUUAUCUUGUUGUUAUGGGGGCUUGGGGGAACUGAAAUUUACGAUUUUUAAAAAUUAUGAAGAUGAGGAUGAAUAUUGUCGAUGUCUCUUAUCAGAUGAUGGCUCUAUUUUAUGAGGUUUUGCUUUGCAGGUCAUCCCCUUCAUCAUCAUUACUGCUGGCUACACGAACAGAAUAUUGACAAAGAAACAGUUUCAUACUGGCCCUUACAAAUAAAAGAUUAGGAACAUAAGAUGCAGUAGAUUUCUUUGCUCAUGAAAUUAAAAUAGCAGCGUAUACUCAGACUAAUUGCUUUAAGCUAAUGAUAUUAUUGAUGUUUUGAUCUUUUACAGUAUUUUGCAUUUGUUACAUUUCAAUUUUUUCCUCAUAUAUUUUGUGAGCAUUGGAACUUAUGCUGGUGAAGCAUCUAGACUAAUUUUUCUGCCCGAGCCUUCAGAGCUAUUAUUUUUAACUGGGAGGAGAAUUUAUACUCAUUUCUUCUGUUUCUACGGGUUUUUUGUAGCCAGAGAGAAAGCCACAGUUCUGAAUUUAGAUUUUAUCAAGGCCAUCGUUACUGCUGAGGAAGUUCUACUGGCAGAUCCUCUAAACCAGGAAGUCAUUCCAUUUGUGGAUCAACUGAAGCAACAACUGCCUUAUAAAAGCCCAAUUGACAUUCAAGAUGCUGAUGGAGUAGAUGAAGGUCUGCAGCGUGAACUACCAUUUGAAUUCCAAGUUCUGGAAAUUGCAUUGGAGGUUGUUUGUACACAUUUGGAUAAUAGUGUGACAGAGCUUGAGAGAGAUGCUUACACCAUCUUGGAUGAACUAACCAGGAAUGUUAGCACUAAGAAUCUUAAAUAUGUCCGAAGUUUGAAAAGCCAUCUCACUUGUUUGCUUGCACGUGUACAGAAGGUAAUGUUGAUGGGUUAUGAUCAUAGCCUCAGAUCUGUUAUCUUCUCCAGGGAUUAAAUCUCUAGUGAUCUCUCCCUCUCUUUGAGAGUGUGUUUGUAGAAGAUAGGCGAAAUCUACUUGAGAUAUACUUGCCAGAGAUUGAGAAGAAUUGAGGUGACAAUAGGAAGUGUGAAGAAUUCUAAGACAAUGGUUUUUUGAAUAGAAAUUUGAUGUGUUUGAUUGAUGUAACUUGAUAUUAUGUUAAGUCUGUGAUAGUAUUUUCUAUGCAUAUUUCCUCUCUUGAAAAUGUUUGUGUUAACUUACAGAUGACAUCGAAUGUGUCCCCUUGUGCUAUUGCGAAGUGUGAUUACAGUGGGAAAGAUUGUUCAAUUUUCACUUCUAAGUCAGGGUCACAUGUUGGAAGGAAAUUUUUUAAAUGUUCAUUGAAUUGCCCCUUCUUCAUGUGGGUUGACCAUCUUAAGAUGUGUGAGUGUGGGAACGGUCAAUGUAAGGUCCGAACUGCGAAGACAAGUACAAAUUAUGGUCGAUAUUUUUGGUGUUGUCCACAAUCAACUGGGGUUGAAAACAAAGGUUGUGGAAUGUUCGAAUGGAUAUCAAAUUCAAGCCUAAGUUGUCAUACUUACCAGACUCCACUUAGGUCACUAUGCUCGGAAACCUCAACUUCAUCAUCUCCUUCCCCUUCAUCAGACUAUAUUAAAGGAUACUUGAACGGUGCAAUAAAAGAAUCGAAGGGUCAUACGAGGAUAUUGAGAGAUGUUCUUGACACACUCAAGAAGCUUGAUUUAAACAAAAAUGUAGGAUGAACUUUUUUGGAAUUUCUUGGAAAAC